rnacentral:lncRNA from 1 species
CCCCCAAGGCUAUAGCCCACCCGUUUUUGUGGGCUUUUUCCGCUGGACGAACUUGGCGCUCCGGCCUUCGGGCGGUUAUUUUUGGGCGCGGCUGUGCCCGCGGCCUAUUUUUGGCACACGGAGGUGCCUCGUAAAGUCUCACGCCAUUCCGAGUCCGGCGGACGAAGUUGGUCAGCCCCACCCCCCAAGGCUAUAGCCCACCCGUUUUUGUGGGCUUUUUCCGCUGGACGAAGUUGGCGCCCCGGCCUUCGGGCAGUUAUUUUUGGGCGCGGCUGUGCCCGCUGGCUAUUUUUGUCACACGGAGGUGGCUCGCAAAGUCUCGCGCCAUUCCGAGUGCAGCGGACGAAGUUGGCCAGCCCCACCCCCCAAGGCUAUAUCCCACCCGUUUUUGUGGCCUUUUUCCGCUGGACGAACUUGGCGCCCCGGCCUUCGGGCGGUUAUUUUUCGGUGCGGCUUUUCCCGCGGCCUAUUUUUGGCACACGGAGGCCCCUCGUAAAGUCUCGCGGCAUUCCGAGUACGGCGGACGAAGUUGGCCAGCCCCACCCUCCAAGGCUAUUGCCCACCCGUUUUUGUGGCCUUUUUCCGCUGGACGAACUUGGCGCCCN